UUCGGUUAAGUCCGCUAACGAGCCGCAAACCCUCGUCGUAUGUUAUAUGUGUCAUACGAGACUGCCGGUAAAAGCCGGAGGAAGGUGAGGAUGAUGUCAAGUCAGCAUGACCUUUAUAUCCAGGGCUACACACACGCUACAAUGGUCUGUACAAUGGGUAGCCAAGCCGCGAGGCGGAGCCAAUCCUGAAAGCAGGCCUCAGUUCAGAUUGCAGUCUGCAACUCGACUGCAUGAAGCCGGAGUUGCUAGUAACCGCAGGUCAGCAAUACUGCGGUGAAUACGGUUCCCGGGUCUU
rnacentral:rRNA from 1 species